rnacentral:rRNA from 1 species
ACUUUCAACAACGGAUCUCUUGGUUCUGGCAUCGAUGAAGAACGCAGCGAAAUGCGAUAAGUAAUGUGGAAUUGCAGAAUUCAGCUGAAUCAUCGAGAUCUUUGAACGCCACAUUGCCGCCCGUGCUCAGGCAUUCCAGCGUCUAGGGCCACUGC